UAAUACGUAUGGUGCAAACGUUGUUCGGAAUCACUGGGCUUAAAGAGCACGUAGGCUGUUGAGAAAGUCUGAUGUGAAAUCCCUCAGCUCAACUGAGGAACUGCAUUAGAAACUUCUCAGCUAGAGUGCAGGAGGGGAGAGUGGAAUUCCUGGUGGAGCGGUGAAAUGCGUAGAUAUCAGGAGGAACGCCGGUGGCGAAAGCGACUCUCUGGCCUGCUACUGACGCUGCGGUGCGAAAGCUAGGGGAGCGAACGGGAUUAGAUACCCCGGUAGUCCUAGCCCUAAACGAUGGGCACUAAGUAGAGGAAGUCCGAUACUUUCUCUGCCGGAGCAAAAGCAUUAAGUGCCCCGCCUGGGGAGUAUGGUCGCAAGGCUG
rnacentral:rRNA from 1 species